rnacentral:lncRNA from 1 species
UUUGUUAGCGGAGAGCUGAGCUCCACAGACUGCGAUCCUGUCUAAGAUCCAAUACGUUAGCUGUUUGCUGAUAAUUCAGAAACUAUGCACAUAUUUAUUAUACAUACACUUUUAUUUCUAGGAUUUUUUUUUACAAUUGCCUAUAAUACAGGGGGUUGUGCUGUCAAAAAUUUUAAAGUUUGAGCAGUGAGCCUAGUGGCUAAUAAUUGUAUGCCUAAUAUGCAGGAAAUGGAUCGUAGUUGGAUGUAUGAUAGGUUCAAUCCACAUAGGAGAGGCUUGAAAUUUGAGUUUGUUAGUGGAGUUCAGGAGUUUAUUAAGAAGGCUAAGGAACAACCCUGCUUUUUGUCUGAAAAAAAGAUCAAGUGUCCAUGUGAAACGUGUAAGUGUGUAAAGUCUUUCACUCCAAGAGAUGUGAAAGCUCAUUUGUACAAAAGUGGGUUUAAACCAAACUAUUCGAUCUGGACUGAGCACGGAGAACUAGAGCAAAAUAUUUGUCCAAUGAAUCAAUCAAAUAGUAGUGAACACAUGGAGGAGGAGGAGGAGGGGGUGGAGGAGGAGGAGGAUCCUAAAACUCCUCAUAUGGAGGCGUCGGAAGAGGAGGAUCCCAAAACUCCUGACAUGGAGGAGUCGGGAG